GGAGGGGUCGCAUAGUGGUUUAGUGCAGCGGUUUACUAAACCGCCGUAACGAAAGUUACCGAGGGUUCGAAUCCCUCCCCCUCCG
rnacentral:tRNA from 1 species